rnacentral:tRNA from 1 species
UUAAUUGAAGCCAAAUAGAGGCAACUUAUUGUUAAUAAGUAAAAUGAUGAUAAUCCAAUUAAA